AACGAACGCUGGCGGCAUGCCUAACACAUGCAAGUCGAACGAUACCUUCGGGUCUAGUGGCGCACGGGUGCGUAACGCGUGGGAACCUGCCCUUAGGUUCGGAAUAACUCCCCGAAAGGGGUGCUAAUACCGGAUAAUGUCUUCGGACCAAAGAUUUAUCGCCUUUGGAUGUGCCCGCGUUGGAUUAGCUAGUUGGUAGGGUAAAAGCCUACCAAGGCGAAGAUCCAUAGCUGGUCUGAGAGGAUGAUCAGCCACACUGGGACUGAGACACGGCCCAGACUCCUACGGGAGGAAGCAGUGGGGAAUAUGGGACAAUGGGCGAAAGAAUGAUGCAGCAAUGCCGCGUGAGUGAGGAAGGCCUUAGGGUUGUAAAGCUGUUUUACCAGGGAUGAUAAUGACAGUACCGGGAGAAUAAGCGACGGCUAACUCCGUG
rnacentral:rRNA from 1 species